rnacentral:sRNA from 1 species
GCCAUACUACGGUGCAACGAGGGCGAAAGUAAACGAUGACCCUAAAGGAACUCUACGUUAAAAUGUUUAUCAAAAUGCAAAAUUGAUCCAAGCUCGGGGUUUUUGCUCCGAGAGUGGUUUUUU